UACGAGGGGGGAGCAAGCGUUGUUCGGAAUUAUUGGGCGUAAAGGGUGCGUAGGCGGUCUGAUAAGUCAUCUGUGAAAUCUAUGGGCUCAACCCAUAGUCUGCAGGCGAAACUGUCGGGCUUGAGUAUGGGAGAGGUGAGUGGAAUUUCCGGUGUAGCGGUGAAAUGCGUAGAUAUCGGAAGGAACACCUGUGGCGAAAGCGGCUCACUGGACCAUUACUGACGCUGAUGCACGAAAGCUAGGGGGAGCAAACAGG
rnacentral:rRNA from 1 species